CCACCGGCGGACGGCUCAGUAACACGUCGGUAACCUACCCUCGGGAGGGGGAUAACCCCGGGAAACUGGGGCUAAUUCCCUAUAGGCCUGAGGUACUGGAAGGUCCUCAGGCCGAAAGGGACUUAUGUCCGCCCGAGGAUGGGCCGGCGGCCGAUUAGGUAGUUGGUGGGGUAAUGGCCCACCAAGCCGAAGAUCGGUACGGGCUGUGAGAGCAGGAGCCCGGAGAUGGACACUGAGACACGGGUCCAGGCCCUACGGGGCGCAGCAGGCGCGAAACCUCCGCAAUGCGGGAAACCGCGACGGGGGGACCCCGAGUGCCGUGGCAACGCCACGGCUUUUCCGGAGUGUAAAAAGCUCCGGGAAUAAGGGCUGGGCAAGGCCGGUGGCAGCCGCCGCGGUAAUACCGGCGGCCCGAGUGGUGGCCGCUAUUAUUGGGCCUAAAGCGUCCGUAGCCGGGCCCGUAAGUCCCUGGCGAAAUCCCACGGCUCAACCGUGGGGCUUGCUGGGGAUACUGCGGGUCUUGGGACCGGGAGAGGCGGGGGGUACCCCUGGGGUAGGGGUGAAAUCCUAUAAUCCCAGGGGGACCGCCAGUGGCGAAGG
rnacentral:rRNA from 1 species